rnacentral:rRNA from 1 species
UGGGGAAUAUUGCACAAUGGGCGAAAGCCUGAUGCAGCGACGCAGCGUGAGGGAUGACGGCCUUCGGGUUGUAAACCUCUUUCAGCAGGGACGAAGCGCAAGUGACGGUACCUGCAGAAGAAGCACCGGCUAACUACGUGCCAGCAGCCGCGGUAAUACGUAGGGUGCAAGCGUUGUCCGGAAUUACUGGGCGUAAAGAGUUCGUAGGCGGUUUGUCGCGUCGUUUGUGAAAACCAGCAGCUCAACUGCUGGCUUGCAGGCGAUACGGGCAGACUUGAGUACUGCAGGGGAGACUGGAAUUCCUGGUGUAGCGGUGAAAUGCGCAGAUAUCAGGAGGAACACCGGUGGCGAAGGCGGGUCUCUGGGCAGUAACUGACGCUGAGGAACGAAAGCGUGGGUAGCGAACAGG